GAAAUUGUUCCCCAUGAACGAGGAAUUCCCAGUAAAGGCGUGUCAUUAGCACGCCUUGAUUACGUCCCUGCCCUUUGUACACACCGCCCGUCGCUACUACCGAUUGAAUGGCUCAGUGAGGCCUCCGGACUGGCUCGGAGAGGUUGGCAACGACCACUCCGAGCCGGAAAGUUCGUCAAACUCGGUCAUUUAGAGGAAGUAAAAGUCG
rnacentral:rRNA from 1 species